GUAAUACUGUAAUUUCAGGUACUGGUAGUUUGUUAAAAAGUCAAUUGCUUAAGUGUACAUGUACCAGGGCUUCCGUUAACGGGCGUACGGCCGUAAAUUACGCCCGAAAAUCGUAUCUGUACGCCGAAAAUUAAGAUCAAUGACGUACCGCUGACUUCCAAAAAUUUAGGAAUACGGCGAAAAUCGUAAGCCGUGACGUACGCCACGACCAUUUCCCGACAUUUUCUCACUUUCCUGGCGUACGAUUGGAUUAUUUAUUAAACUCCGCCCCCUGAAUUGAAUGGUUGACAUGACAGCGAUGGGGGAAAUUAUGCGAAUGCACCUGGCGCGUGACGAAUUAGCGAGUGUUGAUUUAUGACCUUGAUAAGCGUGAAAACAAAGUGAUUGGAUUAAUUGUUUGUUUUGUACGGAUAAUGGAUAGUUAAUUGACGUAAACUGUGGGAAUCUACAGAGAUCCACCCUUUUAAAACACAAUGAAUCCAAGGACCACAAAAAUGCUGUGCAGGCUGAUCACAUGAUACAACAGCUGUAUGGUACUGAUCCAGAGGUAGAAAAAGAAGAACCCAUCAUACACAUUUCAGAAUCUACUUGUACCAUGAUUGAUUAAAGAAUUAAAAGUUU